rnacentral:rRNA from 1 species
GAUGAACGCUGGCGGCGUGCUUAACACAUGCAAGUCGAACGGUGAAGCAGGAGCUUGCUCCUGUGGAUCAGUGGCGAACGGGUGAGUAACACGUGAGCAAUCUGCCCUGGACUCUGGGAUAGGCGUUGGAAACGACGUCUAAUACCGGAUACGAGGCGUGGGGGCAUCCCCAACGCCUGGAAAGAACUUCGGUCCAGGAUGAGCUCGCGGCCUAUCAGGUAGUUGGUGAGGUAACGGCGCACCAAGCCUACGACGGGUAGCCGGCCUGAGGGGGUGCCCGGCCACACUGGGACUGAGACACGGCCCAGACUCCUACGGGAGGCAGCAGUGGGGAAUAUUGCACAAUGGGCGCAAGCCUGAUGCAGCAACGCCGCGUGAGGGACGACGGCCUUCGGGUUGUAAACCUCUUUUAGCAGGGAAGAAGCGAAAGUGACGGUACCUGCAGAAAAAGCACCGGCUAACUACGUGCCAGCCGCCGCCGUAACAC